rnacentral:rRNA from 1 species
CUACGGGGUGCUCCAGUGAGGAAUAUUGCACAAUGGGGGGAACCCUGAUGCAGCAACGCCGCGUGGAGGAUGACGCAUUUCGGUGUGUAAACUCCUUUUAUAUGUCAAGAAAAUGACGGUAGCAUAUGAAUAAGCACCGGCUAACUCCGUGCCAGCAGGCCGCGGUAAUACGGAGGGUGCAAGCGUUACUCGGAAUCACUGGGCGUAAAGGACGCGUAGGCGGGUUGGAAAGUCAGGUGUGAAAUCCUACAGCUUAACUGUAGAGCUGCACUUGAAACUUCUAAUCUAGAGUAUGGGAGGGGGAGAUGGAAUUAGUGGUGUAGGGGUAAAAUCCGUAGAUAUCACUAGGAAUACCUAAAGCGAAGGCGAUCUCCUGGAACAUUACUGACGCUAAGGCGUGAAAGCGUGGGGAGCAAACAGGAUUAGAUACCCGGGUAGUC